rnacentral:lncRNA from 1 species
AACCGGAAACCAAAUAGGACGUUUAUCGACGACUCUACUGGGGAUUUCUUGCUGGGGCACAACCAGACAUUUACCGAUGACUGGGGAGAAUACUCGACGUUUACCGACAUCGAAAGAUGAUGUUUACCGACAUCAAAGAAAGGAGACCAGACAUUUACCGAUGACUGGGAUGAGACUCGACGUUUACCGACAUCGAAAGAUGAUGUUUACCGACACCAAACAAAGAC